rnacentral:rRNA from 1 species
GACGAACGCUGGCGGCGUGCCUAAUACAUGCAAGUAGAACGCUGAAGAGAGGAGCUUGCUCUUCUUGGAUGAGUUGCGAACGGGUGAGUAACGCGUAGGUAACCUGCCUUGUAGCGGGGGAUAACUAUUGGAAACGAUAGCUAAUACCGCAUAACAAUGGAUGACACAUGUCAUUUAUUUGAAAGGGGCAAUUGCUCCACUACAAGAUGGACCUGCGUUGUAUUAGCUAGUAGGUGAGGUAACGGCUCACCUAGGCGACGAUACAUAGCCGACCUGAGAGGGUGAUCGGCCACACUGGGACUGAGACACGGCCCAGACUCCUACGGGAGGCAGCAGUAGGGAAUCUUCGGCAAUGGGGGCAACCCUGACCGAGCAACGCCGCGUGAGUGAAGAAGGUUUUCGGAUCGUAAAGCUCUGUUGUAAGUCAAGAACGAGUGUGAGAGUGGAAAGUUCACACUGUGACGGUAGCUUACCAGAAAGGGACGGCUAACUACGUGCCAGCAGCCGCGGUAAUACGUAGGUCCCGAGCGUUGUCCGGAUUUAUUGGGCGUAAAGCGAGCGCAGGCGGUUUGAUAAGUCUGAAGUUAAAGGCUGUGGCUCAACCAUAGUUCGCUUUGGAAACUGUCAAACUUGAGUGCAGAAGGGGAGAGUGGAAUUCCAUGUGCAGCGGCGAAAUGCGUAGAUAUAUGGAGGAACACCGGUGGCGAAAGCGGCUCUCUGGUCUGUAACUGACGCUGAGGCUCGAAAGCGUGGGGAGCGAACAGGAUUAGAUACCCUGGUAGUCCACGCCGUAAACGAUGAGUGCUAGGUGUUGGAUCCUUUCCGGGAUUCAGUGCCGCAGCUAACGCAUUAAGCACUCCGCCUGGGGAGUACGACCGCAAGGUUGAAACUCAAAGGAAUUGACGGGGGCCCGCACAAGCGGUGGAGCAUGUGGUUUAAUUCGAAGCAACGCGAAGAACCUUACCAGGUCUUGACAUCCCGAUGCUAUUUCUAGAGAUAGAAAGUUACUUCGGUACAUCGGUGACAGGUGGUGCGUGGUUGUCGUCAGCUCGUGUCGUGAGAUGUUGGGUUAAGUCCCGCAACGAGCGCAACCCCUAUUGUUAGUUGCCACCAUUCAGUUGGGCACUCUAGCGAGACUGCCGGUAAUAAACCGGAGGAAGGUGGGGAUGACGUCAAAUCAUCAUGCCCCUUAUGACCUGGGCUACACACGUGCUACAAUGGUUGGUACAACGAGUUGCGAGUCGGUGACGGCAAGCUAAUCUCUUAAAGCCAAUCUCAGUUCGGAUUGUAGGCUGCAACUCGCCUACAUGAAGUCGGAAUCGCUAGUAAUCGCGGAUCAGCACGCCGCGGUGAAUACGUUCCCGGGCCU